UAACUGAAUCCAUAGGUUAAUGAGGCGAACCGGGGGAACUGAAACAUCUAAGUACCCCGAGGAAAAGAAAUCAACCGAGAUUCCCCCAGUAGCGGCGAGCGAACGGGGAGGAGCCCAGAGCCUGAAUCAGUGUGUGUGUUAGUGGAAGCGUCUGGAAAGGCGCGCGAUACAGGGUGACAGCCCCGUACACAAAAAUGCACAUACUGUGAGCUCGAUGAGUAGGGCGGGACACGUGGUAUCCUGUCUGAAUAUGGGGGGACCAUCCUCCAAGGCUAAAUACUCCUGACUGACCGAUAGUGAACCAGUACCGUGAGGGAAAGGCGAAAAGAACCCCGGCGAGGGGAGUGAAAAAGAACCUGAAACCGU
rnacentral:rRNA from 1 species